GCAGCAGACGAGCACGCCUAGCACUGUCUCACUCCCUCCAUGGCCAGGUCCAUGAACACCUUCCAUACAGCAGUGGUACUCUCAGUGCUUCUUCUCAUCUGCUUUGCUAACCACGGGCAAUGCAGAAACUUGGAGCAAGUCAUGGAAAACGGCAGCAAGAUCCACUUACCAUACGGGCUCUGCGAAGCUAGAACCUGCGUGGAUAUGCCGGAUUGUUACUGCUGUUUGAUAGACAACACCUGCCACCCUUCGAGUGAAACGUGCAUUAAAGCCUGUCAAAGCUCUUUCUCUACACGUGUUUUCCGCAGCCCUCCCAUCUAAUCUUUACAUGCAUUGCAUGACUUAAUUCUGGAAUAAUGUGUAGUUUUUAUUGCUCGGUUGCUCCACGAUCCGAGUUUUUGAGUGUUGAGAAUUGAAAGGUUUCUGUUGCGUUCCUCAUCACAAAAUAAUUAAAUAUAUGUUGUGUUAAUC